rnacentral:lncRNA from 1 species
ACAGGCUGUUGUGGUUACUUGCAUAACUGGGCUUAAUUCUCCAAUUAAACAAAGCAAUUAACAAUAACUGCAUCGGUAAAUGUUGUACUUGCUUGAUCAAUUCUGUGUAGAAAAUUGUGUGGAAUAGAUUGACACAGUGACAGGAUGCUCGUGUUAAAAAUAUGAGGAAGGGUUGGCUCACUUCUGCUCCAAGGACCUCUCUAACUCAUACGCUUUGCAGACUGCCCUAAAUAACAGCUUUGUCGAGAAAGGUCUAUUAUGCUACUUCAGAGCAGAGGAGCUAUUCAUGUUGAAUACAAUGUUGGAUGAUGAAAUGCGUCUGAACAAUGAAGGAGUAAAGAAGACCCUAAUAACAACUGCAGGGUACCAGGAGGGUGAUCCGGAACUCUAUUUCUUGAAUCCAGACCAGGUGGUUGAGAUGAGUAGUGGAGAGCUGGUUGAUCCAGAAAGUACAUCCAUGAUCUGGAUACCAAACUGGAAUGCUGUAAGUGCAGGCCUACCUAGAGCAGAACUGUGCCAUGUGAUACAAGUGCCAACCUCUUUGGGGCCAUUCUAGGU